rnacentral:rRNA from 1 species
UUUAACAAAAACAUCUUUUCUCGUUAGUUUUUGAAGUAUGGCCUGCCCACUGACGUGUUGAAGGGCCGCGGUAUUUUGACCGUGCAAAGGUAGCAUAAUCAUUAGUUCUUUAAUUGUGAUCUGGUAUGAAUGGCUUGACGAGGCAUGGGCUGUCUUAAUUUUGAAUUGUUUGUUGAAUUUGUUCUUUGAGUUAAAAUUCUUAGAUGUUUUUAUGGGACGAGAAGACCCUAUAGAGUUUAACAUUUAUUAUGGUCCUUUUUCUGUUUGUAAGGGUUCACUGGGCCGUUUAAUAUGUUUUGUUGGGGUGAUGGGAGGGAUUUAUUUAACCCCUCCUUUGUGUUGUUAUAUUUAUUUAUAUUUACUUGAUCCAUUUAUUUUGAUUGUAAGAUUAAAUUACCUUAGGGAUAACAGCGUUAUCCCCCUUGAGAGUUCUUAUCGGCAGGGGGGUUUGCGACCUCGAUGUUGGAUUAAGGUUUAUUUUCGGUGUAGUGGCU